rnacentral:rRNA from 1 species
CCUACGGGUGGCAGCAGUGAGGAAUAUUGGUCAAUGGGCGAGAGCCUGAACCAGCCAAGCCGCGUGAAGGAUGAAGGAACAGUGGUUUGUAAACUUCUUUUAUAUGGGAAUAAAGUGAGGAACGUGUUCCCUUUUGUAUGUACCAUAUGAAUAAGCAUCGGCUAACUCCGUGCCAGCAGCCGCGGUAAUACGGAGGAUGCGAGCGUUAUCCGGAUUUAUUGGGUUUAAAGGGUGCGUAGGUGGUUAAUUAAGUCAGCGGUGAAAGUUUGUGGCUCAACCAUACACUUGCCGUUGAAACUGGUUGUCUUGAGUAUAUUUGAGGUAGGCGGAAUGCGUGGUGUAGCGGUGAAAUGCAUAGAUAUCACGCAGAACUCCGAUUGCGAAGGCAGCUUACUAACCUCUAACUGACACUGAGGCACGAAAGCGUGGGGAUCAAACAGGAUUAGAUACCCCAGUAGUC